rnacentral:rRNA from 1 species
GAUGAAGGGGGCUAGCGUUGUUCGGAAUUACUGGGCGUAAAGCGCGUGUAGGCGGUUGCCCAAGUCGGGUGUGAAAGCCUUGAGCUCAACUCAAGAAAUGCACUCGGUACUGGGUGACUAGAGGACCGGAGAGGAUAGUGGAAUUCCCAGUGUAGUGGUGAAAUACGUAGAGAUUGGGAAGAACACCAGUGGCGAAGGCGGCUAUCUGGACGGUUUCUGACGCUAAGACGCGAAAGCGUGGGGAGCAAACAGG